GACGAACGCUGGCGGCGUGCUUAACACAUGCAAGUCGAGCGGUAAGGCCCUUCGGGGUACACGAGCGGCGAACGGGUGAGUAACACGUGGGUGACCUGCCUCUAGCUCUGGGAUAAGCCUGGGAAACUGGGUCUAAUACCGGAUAUGACUCCACGGCGCAUGUUGUGGGGUGGAAAGCCUUGUGUGGCUAGAGAUGGGCCCGCGGCCUAUCAGCUUGUUGGUGGGGUGAUGGCCACCAAGGCGACGACGGGUAGCCGGCCUGAGAGGGCGACCGGCCACACUGGGACUGAGACACGGCCCAGACUCCUACGGGAGGCAGCAGUGGGGAAUCUUGCGCAAUGGGCGAAAGCCUGACGCAGCGACGCCGCGUGAGGGAUGACGGCCUGGUU
rnacentral:rRNA from 1 species